rnacentral:rRNA from 1 species
GACAGAGGUGCCGAGCGUUAGGCGGAAUCACUGGGCUUAAAGCGUGUGUAGGCGGGUGCCUAAGUACCUUGUGAAAUCCCACGGCUCAACCGUGGAACUGCUCGGUAUACUGGGUGCCUUGAGCCACUUAGGGGCAACCGGAACAAACGGUGGAGCGGUGAAAUGCGUAGAUAUCGUUUGGAACGCCAAUGGUGAAAACAGGUUGCUGGGAGUGCGCUGACGCUGAGACACGAAAGCCAGGGGAGCAAACGGG